GUUUAUGAAGACAGAGAGGCAAAGAUAGAGAGACCGAAACUUUCUAAAGUAUUUCAGCCAAAAUAACCCAAAGAAAUGAGCUGGACGCAGACACUACAAAGCAGACACUAAGCAAUGGAGUGUGGAUGAGAAGAGAAGUUCAUGCACCCCUCAAAUGGCUGAGGUCUUCACAGACAGCAUUCACAUGUUUCUCAACGACGUUAUAAAUGUUUUUUGACUUCCAGAGUGAUAACUUCUGAAACAUAACAGUUUCUAAUGCUGUCCAAAGCUUUCUUAUUAAAUUGCAUUUUUUUAUUGUGA